rnacentral:lncRNA from 1 species
AAAACUUGAAGUAAGCAAAACCCAUAAAAUAAUACUAUCUACAACAAGAAGUUUUUCCCAACUUAUUAGGGUCGCUGGGAAGAGCCUAUUACCAUGCUGCAUGAAUUAAGUACCAUCUAGCCGCCGUUCUACACCGGUGCCCAUGUAACUACGAUAAGGGCCUGCAUCCGAACACCUCCACCUCCAGUCAACAGUGGCUACGUAGAGCCGAAGUCCCUCCAAAACCUGAGGACGGCAACGGAGAUCCCUCGACAGACGCAAAAGAUAAGCAGCCGUAUUGCAGUCAGGUGUUAGCAAAGUGCUACUGAACAAAUUAGUUUUCUCGACAAUAACUUUCUUUUGUUAAUAAACUUCAAUUUCUUUUUAUUCAGUAUUUUAAAUAGCAAUAAUGUGUAUUUGAUUGAUUUACUAGGGUCAAUAAAUGCAUAUGUGAAUCUUU